rnacentral:sRNA from 1 species
GCUGGGGCCGCAGGUCAUGGCGGCAGCCAGGGUGCCCCCAAGGUUGCAGCCCGAGGAGCUGGGGCUGGCAGGCGCCCACCCCCUGGACUUCCUGCUCCUGGACGCGCCGCUGGGCGGCCCGCUGGGGCUGGACACACUCCUGGAUGGGGACCCGGCCAUGGCACUGAAGCACGAGGAGCGGAAAUGCCCCUACUGCCCCGAUCGCUUCCACAACGGCAUCGGCUUGGCCAACCACGUCCGGGGCCACCUGAACCGCGUGGGCGUCAGCUACAAUGUGCGCCAUUUCAUCUCCGCUGAGGAGGUGAAGGCCAUUGAGCGCAGGUUCUCCUUCCAGAAGAAGAAGAAAAAAGUGGCCAACUUUGACCCAGGCACCUUCAGCCUGAUGCGCUGUGACUUCUGCGGGGCUGGCUUCGACACACGGGCCGGCCUCUCCAGCCACGCCCGGGCCCACCUACGUGACUUCGGUAUCACCAACUGGGAGCUCACUGUCUCACCCAUCAACAUCCUGCAGGAGCUACUGGCCACCUCUGCGGCUGAGCAGCCCCCCAGCCCCCUGGGCCGAGAGCCUGGAGGUCCGCCUGGCAGCUUCCUGACCUCCCGUCGGCCCCGCUUACCUCUCACGGUGCCCUUUCCACCCACCUGGGCUGAGGACCCUGGGCCAGCCUAUGGAGAUGGUAAGGGGAGGGGACGGGCUGUGCUGGAGCCCCAUCCUUCCCAGGGGCCCAGAGCAUUGGAGGGGCGGGGCUGGAGGGGCAGCCGCUCAGCUUUCCUGGAAGCAUUUUGAGUCACUUUACAAAGUAUGUUGAUGACUUUCCUUACAACCACCCUGCUAUUUAGGUGUCCUUUCUGUUUCACUCAGGAUCUGGGCCAGGUCUCUUUCUGGAUCCAGUUUUUCACUAUCUUUCCUGCCAGUGACUUUGACAAAUGCUUACUGAGCUUUUACUGGGAGCCAGACAUCCUUCUAAGCACUUUACAAACAUGAACUCAUUUACAUCCUCACAACAA